AACACUGCUGAGAGUUGCGCAAGACUUGAAAAGUAGCUUGGUUUGUUGUCUUCCUGCAUUGAACACAGAUAGACCCGUCUUCAAUUUGAUCGAUUAUUAACGUUUAAAAAUACCUAAAGUUAUAUUACAAAAGUAGUUUGAACUGUUUUGGCAAAGUUUACAGGCAACUUUUGAAAUAUUUUGUAGUGACGUUGCGCAAUUUGGAAGCUGUUUUUUUCUGGAUCAAACGCGCCAAAGAAAUUGACAUUUGGAUAUAUAUAGAUGGAAUUAAUCGAACAAAAGGACCAAUUGUGAUGCUUACGGGACAUAUUGGAGUGCCAACAAAAGAAACUCGUCAAAGAAACCAGGCCAGGGGAUGACAUAUUCACUAUGUGCUCCCAUAUCUUUCAACACCAUAACUACCACCCUGGACCCCAACAAUACCAAAUCAAAUACCAAGACCCAAAUACCAAAUCAAAUACCAAGACCCAGAACCACCACAGCGGAUCUCAUCCAACCUUCCCCACACCCCCCAACAAAACCAGUACUACAAAUCUAGAGCUGGACCCACCUACCCCCACAUCCCCCAAUAAUACCAGAACUACGAGUCUGGACAUGGGCCAUCACGUUCUGACCUUUAUUUUCCUUUGUUUUGUCAUUAUUUAGUAUGGUCAGGGCGUGAGUUGGGGUGGGCAGUCUAUGUUUGUUUUUCUAUGUUUUGGGUAUUUCUAUGUUUCGGCCCAGUAUGGUUCUCAAUCAGAGGCAGGUGUCAUUAGUUGUCUCUGAUUGAGAAUCAUACUUAGGUAGCCUGGGUUUCACUGUGUGUUUGUGGGUGAGUGUUCCUGUCUCUGUGUUUGCACCAGAUAGGGCUGUUUUGGGAUUUCACAUUUCUUGUUUUUGUAUUUAGUUGUUCAUGUGUAGUAUUUCUUAUUAAAAGAACCAUGGACACUUACCACGCCGCAUAUUGGUCCACUGAUCCUUUUCGCCUCUCCUCUUCGGAAGAAGAGGAGGAAGACCAUGACAGAAUCACCCACCUACCAAGGACCAAGCACGUGGUAAAAGACAACGACGACAGCAGCAGCAGCAACAGAGGCCAGCAUCACAGGACUCCUGGACAUGGGAGGAGAUACUGAACGGAGAGGGACCCUGGGCACAGGCUGGGGAAUAUCGCCGCCCCAAAUCCCUUACACUCCACCACAUCCCAACAAAACCAGGGCCCAGGACAUGAGCCAGACUCCUCCAGACUAGCCUACAUCACCAGAUUACAGUCUAAUAUGUGAUUAACAACAAGUGACUAGGGUUUUUUAUUGAGCCCUUCAUAAUCACACUUUAGAAGAUAUAAAUCAAAUGCACUGUGCAAUGACCAUAAUGACAUGUCCAAACUGGUUUAUAAAGUACAUUGUUUUAUUCAUUAAUUAAUGUGUUCAGUCAUUCAGUCAUUC
ensembl:lncRNA